rnacentral:rRNA from 1 species
ACUCCUACGGGAGGCAGCAGUGGGGAAUAUUGCACGAAUCGGGCGCAAGCCUGAUGCAGCCAUGCCGCGUGUAUGAAGAAGGCCGUUCGGGUUGAUAAAGUACUUUCAGCAGUGAGGAAGGUUGGGUAUGUUAAUCAGCAUACUCAUUUGACGUUAGCUGCAGAAGAAGCACCGGCUAACUCCGUGCCAGCAGCCGCGGUAAUACGGAGGGUGCGAGCGUUAAUCGGAAUUACUGGGCGUAAAGCGCAUGCAGGUGGUUUGUUAAGUC